ensembl:lncRNA
CGGUGUGGUACAACACAGAACUCUACGUUCGCAAUCAAAGGUUCAUAAUUAUCUUUAUACCGUGUACUAAAAAAUGUGUAAGUUUUCUCUUCAUAACGCCACCUCAAGCGUUUUAUUAGCCGUUUUCUGUUAUUACUUUUUGCUGGAGAAGGAGGGGUGGGCAGCUGAAAGGAGUCGUAGCGAGACAUGUUGUUUCGGCAUGGCAUUCGAGAGGGCCUAGUGCACUGUUCGGUUAACUUCUUGUGUCUGAGGUUUUUCACUUUAACAUGAAUGAAGUUGAUGGGUUUUAGGCACUGUGGUAACUGAAUAUCACUAAGGUUUUUAUUGACGAAGGGACUUUUAGAUUGGUUCAGCUGCUGCUCACUAACUCUCACGUUCCUCUGCUCGCGAUGCGAUUCACAUAUCGAUCAAUUUAUUCAAAAGAUCCAAAGACAAAGAACAGGUACAUUAUGGUAUAAUUUUAUAUUAUUUUUUAUAGUCUUAUUGUUAAUAGCUUCAGUCACGUUGGUAUUUAAUUUUUCAUUUGCUUGUUUAGCUAUGUAUGACAGUUAACAAUUUUGGUGUAUUACAAUUAUUUGUGUGUUGGCCACUCCAACUCACACUCGAUAUUUUGAAUAGAUUAGUGUGCUCUCUGGGAGAUUUCAUCCUUAUUUUAACAUAUUACUCGAGACGGUGUUUCUCACAGCGUUCUACGGGUUCAUGCGUUCUACGGGUUCAUGCGUUCUACGGGUUCAUGCGUUCUACGGGUUUACGCGUUCUACGGGUUUACGCGUUCUACGGGUUUACGCGUUCUACGGGUUUACGCGUUCUUGCGUUCAUGUGCAAAUGCGUACACGUCUCCUACUCAGACUUUUUCCCCUACACGGGGCCUGACUUUCGCCGAUGUCACCUUCUCUUUCUUGCAAGGCAUUUUUCCAUCUAAAAGCGAUAGCCUAGGAGCAGCUGUUACUAUUAUCAUUUCAAGAAUCAACAACUCUCUGUCCUUACGCUUCCAUGUUCCUUUAUCUCAAGCUUCGGCAAUGCACGUCCCCGAAUCACCUGUUUAUUUGCGGCCUGCCAAUGCCUCAAGGGUGGUUCAGAGUCCAUCUCGCGACGGUGGUAGAAGGGUGCGGCCUACCAUCUCCCCUCUACACUCAGUGGCGCCACCAUGGGGUGGCGAGGGGUGGCUACUGCCACCCCAAAAUCAUUCUUUGCCACCCCAUUUGCCACCCCUAAGACAAUUUUUAUUAUGCAUAUUUAUUUAAAAUAUAUAAUGUAGUCUAGAUUAUAUUAUAAUGUAGUCACAGCGUUCUCGGGUUCAUGCGUUCUCGGGUUCAUGCGUUCAUGCGUCCAUGCAUACAUGUCUCCUACUCAGACUUUUCCCCUACACAAGGUAUUUAAUUUUUCAUUUGCUUGUUUAGCUAUGUAUGACAGUUAACAAUUUUGGUGUAUUACAAUUAUUUGUGUGUUGGCCACUCCAACUCACACUCAAUAUUUUGAAUAGAUUAGUGUGCUCUCUGGGAGAUUUCAUCCUUAUUUUAACAUAUUACUCGAGACGGUGUUUCUCACAGCGUUCUACGGGUUCAUGCGUUCUACGGGUUCAUGCGUUCUACGGGUUCAUGCGUUCUACGGGUUCAUGCGUUCUACGGGUUCAUGCGUUCUACGGGUUUACGCGUUCUACGGGUUUACGCGUUCUACGGGUUUACGCGUUCUACGGGUUUACGCGUUCUACGGGUUUACGCGUUCUUGCGUUCAUGCGCAAAUGCGUACACGUCUCCUACUCAGACUUUUUCCCCUACACGGGGCCUGACUUUCGCCGAUGUCACCUUCUCUUUCUUGCAAGGCAUUUUUCCAUCUAAAAGCGAUAGCCUAGGAGCAGCUGUUACUAUUAUCAUUUCAAGAAUCAACAACUCUCUGUCCUUACGCUUCCAUGUUCCUUUAUCUCAAGCUUCGCAAUGCACGUCCCGAAUCACCUGUUUAUUUGCGGCCUGCCAAUGCCUCAAGGGUCGUUCAGAGUCCAUCUCGCGACGGUGGUAGAAGGGUGCGGCCUACCAUCUCCCCUCUACACUCA